rnacentral:rRNA from 1 species
UACGUAGGUGGCGAGCGUUGUCCGGAUUUACUGGGCGUAAAGGGAGCGUAGGCGGACUUUUAAGUGAGAUGUGAAAUACCCGGGCUCAACUUGGGUGCUGCAUUUCAAACUGGAAGUCUAGAGUGCAGGAGAGGAGAAUGGAAUUCCUAGUGUAGCGGUGAAAUGCGUAGAGAUUAGGAAGAACACCAGUGGCGAAGGCGAUUCUCUGGACUGUAACUGACGCUGAGGCUCGAAAGCGUGGGGAGCAAACAGGAUUAGAUA